rnacentral:rRNA from 1 species
UACGGAGGAGGCAAGCGUUAUCCGGAAUUAUUGGGCGUAAAGCGUGCGUAGACGGUUGCGUAAGUCAGAUGUGAAAGCCCCGGGCUCAACCUGGGAAUUGCAUUUGAGACUGCGUAGCUAGGGUGCGGAAGAGGGAAGCGGAAUUUCCGGUGUAGCGGUGAAAUGCGUAGAUAUCGGAAGGAACACCAGUGGCGAAAGCGGCUUCCUGGUCCAGCACCGACGUUCAGGCACGAAAGCGUGGGGAGCAAACAGG